rnacentral:sRNA from 1 species
UGACGAUGUUGCUAACACGAGCCCUGGC